rnacentral:rRNA from 1 species
GCUGACGAGUGGCGGACGGGUGAGUAAUGUCUGGGAAACUGCCUGAUGGAGGGGGAUAACUACUGGAAACGGUGGCUAAUACCGCAUAACGUCGCAAGACCAAAGAGGGGGACCUUCGGGCCUCUUGCCAUCAGAUGUGCCCAGAUGGGAUUAGCUAGUUGGUGAGGUAACGGCUCACCAAGGCGACGAUCCCUAGCUGGUCUGAGAGGAUGACCAGCCACACUGGAACUGAGACACGGUCCAGACUCCUACGGGAGGCAGCAGUGGGGAAUAUUGCACAAUGGGCGCAAGCCUGAUGCAGCCAUGCCGCGUGUAUGAAGAAGGCCUUCGGGUUGUAAAGUACUU